ensembl:lncRNA
GGGUACAGAAGGUUCCUCUCUUUGCAUUUAUUUUUUUCAAUUCCGACAAAAAUGGAAGAAAAAAAGUCCAGUUGAACGCAGCUCCAGACGAGUCUUGGGUUACGAUUGUCUCUUAGAUAUGAAGUAUACAUACACCAACACCUGUAAGUCCAUGUUUGGGUCCCAAAUGGCACCCUAUUCCCUAUGUAGUGCACUACUUUUGACCAGGGCCCUAUGGCCAAUGGCACCCUAUUCCCUAUGUAGUGCACUACUUUAGACCAGGGCCCUAUGGCCAAUGGCACCCUAUUCCCUAUGUAGUGCACUACUUUCGACCAGGGCCCUAUGGCCAAUGGCACCCUAUUCCCUAUGUAGUGCACUACUUUCGACCAGGGCCCAUUUGGGAGACAGCCUAUAAGUCCUAUCAAGAUAGAUAGAUAGUCCUCUAUCUAUUUUAGUGUGCCCAAAAGCCUGUUUUAGCAUGGACAGUAACAUUGAGGACUUUCACCAUUUUGAAGUAGUCAACUGGGCAGGACAUCCUGUGGGUUAAGGAAGGAUCACAUAAUUCCAUCGAGGUCACAAGGUGUGGGGGCAGUGAAUCACCAACCUUGGCUUUGUGCCUGUUUAAAUAACACCCUCCAGGUGGCUGUGAAUAACCAACCUUGGCUUUGUGCCUGUUUAAAUAACACCCUCCAGGUGGCUGUGAAUCGCCAACCUUGGCUUUGUGCCUGUUUAAAUAACACCCUCCAGGUGGCAGUACGCACCCUUUCAGUUUAUUUACCAACUCAUAGAAGGAGUAGAAGAAGAAAAAAUGAACUACUUCAAAAUGGAGAUGGCCACAGUCUGUGCAUUAUGGUCGUCUGUGCGCUCACAGACACCAUAAUGGGACAGAAUACAAUGUUGGCGAUCUCUUAACAUCUCUAUGGUGGCAGGAAUCAACGUGACCUUUAACCUCUAUAUUGGGUUAUUUUCUUUCUUGAUGCUCAGACUGUGGAUCCAAAUAAAGUGUUCCAGUGUGUUCUUGCUCCAGAAUCCCCUAUAGGUACAGAUCUAGGAUCAGCUUCCCCCUCCCCCAAUCCUAACCUUAACUAUUAGUGGGGGUGGUGGGGGGGGGACAAUGUUAAACUGACCCAAGAUCAGUGUCUAGGGGAAACUUCACCCGUCUCCAUGUUUAAUAGUCCAAUGGAGUCCGAAAGAGCAUUGUUUAUUGUUUUGCAUGUGCUGGCCGGUGGGUGUUACAGUGUGUGUUACAGUCUUAAUAGUCCGUAGUGCUACAAAAGAGCUGUUAAAAGAAGGUUCCCCCUGGUGGCAGUGGUCUCCAUGUACAAAGGCUACAGGUCAUGAAGACUGAACGGCUGCAUUCCAAAUGGCAACCUAUUCCCUAUGUAGUGCACUACUUUUGACCAGAGCCCUUUGUGCAGUAUAAAGGGAAUAGGUUGCCAUUUGGGACACAACCCAUGGCCUUGGUUGGGGCGAGGCAGACACUGCCUCGGGUGUCAGGGCCUUGGUUGGGGCGAGGCAGACACUGCCUCGGGUGUCAGGGCCUUGGUUGGGGCGAGGCAGACACUGCCUCGGGUGUCAGGGCCUUGGUUGGGGCGAGGCAGACGCUGCCUCGGGUGUCAGGGCAGGUGACAUCACUUUGUUCCACGGUGGGAAAAUGUUUACUAGCUAGCUACCUCACACCUGCAACACUUCCUCCAUCGCUCUUCCCCCAUCUCUCCUCCUCUUCCUCCACCUCUCCUCAUCCGCCAUCUCUCCUCCUCUUCCUCCAUCUCUCCUCCUCUUCCUUCAUCUCUCCUCCCCUUCCUCCAUCUCUCCUCCUCUUCCUCCAUCUCUCCUCCUCUUCCUCCAUCUCUCCUCCUCUUCCUCCAUCUCUCCUCCUCUUCCUCCAUCUCUCCUCCUC